CUGUGAGGAAAACAAGUUAGAGAAUGGAAAAAUAAUAUUUGGAUUUCAACGAAAUAAUAAAGAUGCAGGGGCUAUCUUUGACUUUUGCAAGAAAAUGCUAAUGUCCAAAUUCAGGCAGGUAGAUCUUACCAACCAUCAAGAGCUUCAACCCUGCUAACAGCUAAAUUUCUGUGUGUGUGUGUGUCCCCAUGAUGAAAACAUCAUUAAAGUAAAAUACCAUGAAUAGACUCUUAAGAAGCAGAGUCUACUGAAAGUCCUGGAAAAUAUGAAAGCACUAAUAUUCAUGGACAGCUCUACACUCUGAAAGUUACUCCAAAUUUUGUUGAUCUCUCUUUUGUCUAGGAGUUUUUCAAAUUUUCUACCAUGAUCAUUUGUUAGUUUUAUAAUUACAUAAUAAAGGCAUUACAUCAUACAA